GUUGGCAGCCAAACCACCCUGAGUACACUGGAUCUUGUCUGGUCUCAGAAGCUAAGCAGGAUCAGUCCUGGUUAGUACUGGAUGGGAAAAAGAUUUUCAGAGGAGACUUCUCAGA
rnacentral:rRNA from 1 species